AAGUUGUAACAAGGUCUCCGUUGGUGAACCAGCGGAGGGAUCAUUACCGAGUACUAUAACUCAUAACCCUUUGUGAACCUUCAUACCUGUUGCUUCGGCGGCGCGCCUCCCGGGGCGUGCCUGCUGGCAUUAUCAGAAUCUCUGUUUGAACCCGACGAUACUUCUGAGUGUUCUAAGCGAACUGUUAAAACUUUCAACAACGGAUCUCUUGGCUCUA
rnacentral:misc_RNA from 1 species